rnacentral:rRNA from 1 species
GAUGAACGCUGGCGGCGUGCCUAAUACAUGCAAGUCGAGCGAACAGACGAGGAGCUUGCUCCUCUGACGUUAGCGGCGGACGGGUGAGUAACACGUGGAUAACCUACCUAUAAGACUGGGAUAACUUCGGGAAACCGGAGCUAAUACCGGAUAAUAUAUUGAACCGCAUGGUUCAAUAGUGAAAGACGGUUUUGCUGUCACUUAUAGAUGGAUCCGCGCCGCAUUAGCUAGUUGGUAAGGUAACGGCUUACCAAGGCAACGAUGCGUAGCCGACCUGAGAGGGUGAUCGGCCACACUGGAACGGAGACACGGUCCAGACUCCUACGGGAGGCAGCAGUAGGGAAUCUUCCGCAAUGGGCGAAAGCCUGACGGAGCAACGCCGCGUGAGUGAUGAAGGUCUUCGGAUCGUAAAACUCUGUUAUGAGGGAAGAACAAAUGUGUAAGUAACUAUGCACGUCUUGACGGUACCGAAUCAGAAAGCCACGGCUAACUACGUG